rnacentral:rRNA from 1 species
UACGUAGGGUGCGAGCGUUGUCCGGAAUUAUUGGGCGUAAAGAGCUUGUAGGCGGUCUGUCGCGUCUGCUGUGAAAAUCCGGGGCUCAACCCCGGACUUGCAGUGGGUACGGGCAGACUGGAGUGCGGUAGGGGAGAUUGGAAUUCCUGGUGUAGCGGUGGAAUGCGCAGAUAUCAGGAGGAACACCGAUGGCGAAGGCAGAUCUCUGGGCCGUAACUGACGCUGAGGAGCGAAAGCGUGGGGAGCGAACAGG